GACGGGGGGGGGGGGCAAGUGUUCUUCGGAAUGACUGGGCGUAAAGAGCUCGUAGGCGGUUUGUCGCGUCGGAUGUGAAAGCCCGGGGCUUAACCCCGGGUCUGCAUUCGAUACGGGCAGACUAGGGUGUGGUAGGGGAGAUCGGAAUUCCUGGUGUAGCGGUGAAAUGCGCAGAUAUCAGGAGGAACACCGGUGGCGAAGGCGGAUCUCUGGGCCAUUACUGACGCUGAGGAGCGAAAGCGUGGGGAGCGAACAGG
rnacentral:rRNA from 1 species